AUUAGUAUGCCAGAUUAAUGGGUCAAAUUUAAGUUUUGUGUAUGGUUUAACCUGCUAAUU
rnacentral:tRNA from 1 species